UGGAGAGUUUGAUCCUGGCUCAGAACGAACGCUGGCGGCGUGCCUAACACAUGCAAGUCGAACGCGAAAGUCCCUUCGGGGAUGAGUAGAGUGGCGAACGGGUGAGUAACACGUGAGUAACCUACCUCUCAGUGGGGGAUAACAUCGCGAAAGCGAUGCUAAUACCGCAUACGAUCCUCUUCUGGACACAGAGGAGGAGGAAAGGUAGCUCUUUCGGAGGCUGCUGCUGGGAGAUGGGCUCGCGGACCAUUAGCUAGUUGGUGGGGUAAUGGCCUACCAAGGCGACGAUGGUUAGCCGACCUGAGAGGGUGAUCGGCCACACUGGCACUGAGACACGGGCCAGACUCCUACGGGAGGCAGCAGUGGGGAAUAUUGCGCAAUGGG
rnacentral:rRNA from 1 species